CAAAUAGUUAUUCGUUAUCAAGUGGAUCGUGGCCAUAUAGUGAUUCCCAAAUCAGUCACCAAGUCACGAAUCGCUCAAAACAUGGACAUAUUUGACUUUAAACUUUCACCUGAAGACGUUGCUUAUAUUGAUACUUUUGAUUGCAACGGAAGAAUUUGUGCACUUAAUAAUGCAAGUGCCAGCCCCUAUUAUCCGUUCAAUAUUCCAUUCUAAGUAAUCAAAAUGAACAAGUGAGACUAUAAUAUAUCUGCGUGUUCUUUUUAUUAAACUUUUUGCAUUAAAAUAUAUUUUUGAAAAUUAUUAAUUUGUGCAUAUAUAUAAAAUAAUAUUUCUUCUUAAUAAUAUUUUCUUAUAAUAUAUUAUUUUUGUAUACAUAGAUAAGUACAUUCUUAUUACCAGAUAUUUCUCAAAUAUAAAUUUUUAUAUAGCAAUUGUACCAAAUCUUGUACACGUGUGUGCAAAUAAAGGAAUUUUUGCGUUGAAUAAAAUGAGACUAAAAUCAUAUUAUUAAUAUAACAAAUGUUUGGAUAUUAAUUAUAUUGCUACGAAUAUAAAUUGCUAAGUCAGAUAAAUUAUCUGGCUUAGCAAUCGCAAGAGCAACACUCGCAAAGCCUCUUAUGUUGUUAUACGUUUUUCUUUCGUA